AACUGCACCUCUAGCACAUCUUGCAUCCGCGACUUAGACCGCGACUCGAGUCGACAUUCCCGCGGCUGUCAAAUCUGUCGAUUUCCGUAGCACAACUUGUACCCGCGACUGCAACAGCCGCGUAGAGAACUCAAAGUCGCGGCGCGACUCAUCAGUGUUCCCCGAUGGAAUCAAAGUCUAAACAUAAAUCCUAUUUACAUGUGACAACACUGAAUCGGAAACAGGGUUGCGCUAUUUCAUUCGUUCUUUGGUGGUAAAAAAUCUAGUUUAUUGUCGAUGGUUAAGUUUUUCCUGUCAAAGUCAAGGAACUUUCAAAUUUUGUCAACAUUUAAUUACGAGAAAAAAUAUGAAAAAAUGUAAGUAAUAGAGCCUUAUAUACUAAAUUUUGAUAAUAUUCCUUAAAAUAUAUAAUAUAUAGUUUAUUAAUUUCUGUUUAAUAAACCUUUUAAAUAAAAUAUUUUUGUAAAUAACUAUAAUUAAUGGAAUUGCUAUUAUUGGUUUGGUUCUCAUAUUCCUGUUAUAAAUUGUGUUUUUUUUUUCAGAAUAAGUCCAGCAUUAUCCUAGACACGAUUGAUAUCCCAGCACCCAAAGGAAAAUAUUGUUAACAGGAAUGUGCCAACGGGACCCGAAGUGGAGAGUCAGGAAAAGAAACACACUAGGCAAGCUUGGUGAUAUUUAAUUGUCCUACGCCGCAUGUCGAAUAAAAAGGAAGAGAGAAAAUACUUUUCAAGGGUAAUAAAGAAGAUUCUUACAAUUUCUCUAUUGUGGUUCUAGAUGUUAAUAAUAUAUUAGGUUUAAUAAUAAGAAGUCGAAUAUUGCAAGAAUAUAUAAGGCAAAGCAAUAUACUAUUAAUUUAAA